CAAAGUGCUGAGCAUGGGGCCUGGCUCAUAGAAAGUAUCAAAUAAGUGGUAGACAAGUUGUCAUUUUCACUUGUGGUUGAUAAUUUCCACUUUUGCCUUUCUGCAGCCCAGAGACAGAAGCAGAUAAUGCAAGUGUCAUCUACAUCUGGCAAAAGCCAAAGGUUUGGAAGAUGGAAAAAGGAAUCCAGGCAAAAAGGAGCCCAAGAUUGAAGUGAAUGACCAGGUGCACCAGUUCAAAUGCAAUCAGGAGGGAGAGGGGUAGAGGGAGAAGCCUAGAGCAGCGCUUCUCAAACUGACUAUUCAAGUCACCUGGAGAUCUUGGUGAAAUGCAGACUCUGGUGCAGUAGGUCCUGGUGGGAACUUGAAAUUCUGCAUUUUGACCAAGCUCCAAGGUGAACGUUCAGUGCUGUUGUCCUUGGCCCACAGCGGGAGGAGCAGGGAUCUAAGACUUGGAGAUCAAAUGUCAAGCUCAGAAGAAAGACUGGAAGUUUGGGGACAAAACCCAAAUAUGGCUAAAGAAAGCCUGUAGGAUGAAGUUGGAAGUUCCAGAGCCUUCUCUUCACAUAAUGGGACAUGCAAGGGGGAAACCAAAUCAAAAGUGUAGAAUGCGUCGCUGGAUGUCUUUGACAUGAUGAGGAAACCAAGGCACAGGGAGAUGAAAUAACUUACCCGAGGUCUUUCGCCUGGCAAAAUGACAGAGCUGGGAUUUGAAUCUAGGCAGUGUGGCUCCAAUUCCACGUUCCUAACCACCAUGCUCUAUCUACUGCUGGCCAGAAAAGAUCCUCCCACAUGAUCCAGUCUUCAAAGCCAGCAAAGGCACGUGCAAGCUUUCUUGUGCUUUGAAUCUCUCUGACUUUCCUUCCGCUACCAGACAGGAAAAACUCUACUUUUAAAGGUUUCACCUAAUUGGGUCAGGCCUACCUGAAUAAUUUUUGUAAUUAAAGUUGACUGACUUGCCACUUUAAUCCCA
rnacentral:lncRNA from 1 species